ACUCAAAGGAAUAGACGGGGGCCCGCACAAGCGGUGGAGCAUGCGGCUUAAUUCGAUACUACGCGAAGAACCUUACCUGGGUUUGACAUGUAUUUGAUUGGGCAUGAAAGUGUCCUUCUCUUCGGAGCAAAUACACAGGUGCUGCAUGGCUGUCGUCAGCUCGUGUCGUGAGAUGUUCGGUUAAGUCCGGCAACGAGCGCAACCCUUGUUUUUAGUUGCCAGCAAGUAAAGUUGGGGACUCUAAAAAGACCAGCCUUUUUAUAGAGGCAGGAAGCUGGGGAUGAUGUCAAGUCAGUAUGGCCCUUACAUCCAGGGCUGCACGCGUGCUACAAUGCCUAGUACAAAGGGAAGCAAAGUCGCGAGACGGAGCAAAUCCCCAAAACUAGGCCCAGUUCAGAUUGAAGUCUGCAACUCGACUUCAUGAAGUUGGAAUCGCUAGUAAUGGCGCAUCAGCAAUGGCGCCGUGAAUACGUUCCCGGGCCUUGUACACACCGCCCGU
rnacentral:rRNA from 1 species